AUGAGAUUUAAAUAUGCCAAUCAGUCCAUCUCAAGAGUUUAGCAUGAACAAUGUGGAAUGUAAUUAUCUUUAAGCGAUAGCCACUUUUGUGGAGUUACAGCCAUAACUUGAGAUCUGAAACCCAGUAGAUGACCUCUCCCCAUGGCUGGAGCAGCUGCUUUCCUGCAAAAAAAAAAAAAAAAAAAAAAGCCAAUGCCAAGUAUUACCUGAAAAUUCCACUAGUGUGACCUUUCAAGAGAAUGAUUUUGAGUACUUCUGGUGAUAACUCUGACACCAUUUCUUCUACUAAUGGGCCAUUUUCAAAAUCAGCAGGAUGAUGGAAAUAACCUGACUUCACAGAGGGGCCAAACAGACUCCACCUGCAAUAUCUAAUGCCCUGUUUUCUCCAUCAGUGAUCUUCUUAGGUGGGAAAUCAUCAAAAACCUAAAGACUCCCAACUUCUCAUGUCUCGUGUGGUCCACAGCGGUGUGCAAAAUGGGUCUCGAGGCAGAGAUUGGUCUGUAAUGGGACACAGCGUUAUCCAAAGAUGAUGGCAGAAUGCAGCUAACUAUUUGGAAGCGUUUUUCCGUCUUGCUACUGGGGAAUAUUGCAUCGUGUAGGUCUCUCCACAGAGGAAUAUGACUACACAAUGGAGGUGUUGUCUAGCCGCACCUUGACAAAUGCUGAGGAGUCUGGAUUCACUUGCCUGAUGUCAAAGAAUGAAGGCUCGUUCUCCAGAACACCCCUGAGGCUUCUCACACCAUCUCCCUCCUCCACUCUCAGUCCUCCCUGCAUUUGCUUAUUCAACAAGGUUUUCCUGAGCAUUUCCUCAUGCCAGGCUCAGUGAACAGGACAGACAUGGGUCCCUGCCUCCUGGAGCUGACAUUCUUGUGAGAGAGAUAGACAUCAAUCAAACACAAAAACAGAUGCAGAAUUAUAAACUGAGGUCAAUUAUAAGUGAGGGGACAACAGAGAGAGAGGAGGCUGACUACCUGCAAGGGCCUGAUGACUCCAGAGAGAUGGGGAAGGUUUCCAGAGCAUUCUGACCACUGUUCGCUGGCCAGCAAUCUGGAUUAUAAAUUGCCCCCAAGUUAAAAAAAUUCCUCAAGGGGAGAGACCGUAGAUCAUUUGGCUUUACAGUUUAUAGAGCUUAUAGCACCUGAUGUGGGGUAGGACUUGUAUUUGCAAAACAAAUAGAUGAGGGAAUGAGCAGGCUAUCCUGUGAUAUUUCUUUCAUUACAUAUUUUUAACUCCUUGCAGGUGCAAAGGUUUCAUCUUAGAUCUCCCUUCAACCCCACACACAGCACUGAGAACAAUUAGCAAAUCAUUACAUUGGGAGGAGACAUCCCAUUUUCACGAACUCUAAUAAAACUGUGGCUCUGCUUCCUGCUUCCUGCCUGUCUUCCACAAAGCCAGGCCUCAGUCUCGAGUUCCCAGCUAUGCACACAUCUCUGCUCAGACCCUGUGCUCAAGCUAAGCCUUGUCUCCUUUGGUGUGAGGUUGAAAGAUCCUGCCACAAUGGAGGCAGAACUCACCCUCGGUGGGGGAGAGCAAGACACAGAGGGGGACAUUUGUGCUCUGGGGAAAAGAGGGAAGAGUUUGAAACUGCAUACCAUGCCGUUAACAUAUUUAUUUUGCUUAUUGUUCCUCUAACUCCACUAGAACAGAAUUUGUAUUUUGGGUCUGUCUUGUUCAUUGCUGUGUCCCUGGUGCCUGGCACAUAGUCCACACUGGAUACUUAUUUGUUAAAUAAAUGAGUCAGUGAAUGAAAUGGGACUCGGGCAAGACAGUAAAAGGAAAUAGCCAGGAGCAAAGGCAUAGAGGUGAUGAAAUACAUGGGCCACGCAGCACAGCUGCAUCCAGCAGUGUGCGGUUUAACAACUAACCCUCUGCAUGUAGCUCCAACAUGGGCGAUGGUUGAUAUUUUCAUGUACCUUAACAAAUAAAACUGAAAUUAAAAAAAAAAACAGAAUUUCAUGUGUUUAUCAAUGAUGUGAGCCACUUCUUUGCUGAAUUGGAUGGUAAGUUUUGAAUACUGUCAUUUACAAUGACACACUUUUGGCCAGGCAUGGUGGCUCACACCUGUAAUGCCAGCACUUUGGGAGGCUGAGGCAGGAGGAUCACUUGAGCCCAGAAGUUUGAGACCAGCCUGGGCAACAUGGUGAAACCCCAUCUCUACAAAAAAUAAAAAAAUUAGCUGGGCAUGGUUGCAUGCACCUGUGGUCCCAGCUACUUGGGAGGCUGAGGUGGGAGGACCCCUUGAGCCCAGGAGUUCGAAUCUGCAGUGAGCCAUGACUGCACCACAGCACUCCAGCCUGGGUGAUAGAGUAAGAGUCUGUCUCAAAAAUGGAGUUUCAGGCCGGGCAUGGUGACUCACACCUGUAAUCCCAGCACUUUUGGGAGGCCGAGGCGGGCGGAUCACGAGGUCAGGAGAUCAAGACCAUCCUGGGCUAAUGCGGUGAAACCCCGUCUCUACUAAAAAUACAAAAAAUUAGCCAGGCAUGGUGGCAGACACCUGUAGUCCCAGCUAUUCGGGAGGCUGAGGCAGGAGAAUGGUGUGAACCUGGGAGGCGGAGCUUGCAGUGAGCCGAGAUGGCACCACUGCACUCCAGCCUAGGCGACACUCAAAAAAAAAAAAAAAAAAAAAAAAAAAAGGAAUUUCACUCUUGUUGCCCAAGCUAGAGUGCAAUGGCGCGAUCUCAGCUCACCGCAACCUCUGUCUCCCAAGUUCAAGUGAUUCUCCUGCUUCAGCCUCACGAGUAGCUGAGAUUACAGGCAUGUGCCACCACGCCCAGCUAAUUUUGUAUUUUUAGUAGAGACGGGGUUUCUCCAUGUUGGUCAGGCUGGUCUCAAACUCCUGACCUCAGGUGAUCCGCCCACCUUGGCCUCCCAAAGUGCUGGGACUACAGGCGUGAACCACCACACUGGGCCAUAUAUAAACACUUAAGUUUAAUCUGAUUAGCAUUCUCUCUAUCACUUUCCUAAGUCUAGGCAAUUAUCAAAACAAUAAAUCAAACCCAAGUUUAUAGUGUUUGCCAAUUUCUGUGGCAAACAGAAAUAUUCCCACCAGGGCUGAUUUAGAGCUACCAACAUGAUGUCACUGAACAUGGAUUUGGUGUGGGCUGCGACAUAUCAUUAUACAUAGAUACAACAGGUGAAAUAGAUAAAUAAUACAGUAAAACAAUCAGGAAGGGAUGAGUUUUGAGUAUUGGCUACCCUUGUUUUUAAUUUAUUUAACUAUAAUUUUAUAUAAUUUGUUUUUAAAGAAUGGCUAUUAUUAACCAUUGGCACACAACAUUUCUGAAAAUUUAACAACUGGCUCUCAGGAGUCAUCCCUGAGUGCAUCCUACAGGCAGACCAAGCCUUGCUUUGGGCACUGGCAAAGCUGGAGUCCAGGAGAUUCUGCUUCAAUGGACUCACCUGGGACUGCACAAUUAGAAAUGCUAGAAAGAAGCUACAUCAAUGUUUGUACAACAUGUAACUUUUAUCACUAAAAAAGAAAGAUUUCUUUUGAAUUAUAUUUUAGGCUCCAUAAUCUCCCCCAGGUUUAGGGAUUCUAAAAGUCAUGUUCUGGCCACAUCCCAGGCCUGCUCAGUUCCUGGAGGGAAGAGCUUGAGAAAGAGGUAGCCAGCACUGUGCUUUUUACAUAAGGAAGUAUGUAAUGUAGGAAACUGCAGUCUGAGGACCAAAGCAGCAGCUCCCUGGAGGUCAUCCAGGUGAGACGUAUUUCUAGGUCUGACGUAAGGGUCGGGGGCAGAGCCAAGGCUGCUACAGAAAUAGAACUGUAAGCCCCAGGGAGUGUGGGGAGAUAACCCUGGAGACAAGCCACCUAGAACCAAACAGCCUUGACUCUGAAGGCUUCCCAGGAUGCUGGCUCAGCAACAGGACAAACCAAUCCCCAACCCGAGUCACAUCCAAGUCCCAGCUGGGUACAGCUGGGCUUAGAUCAGGGAACAUCCGAGGCAGGCGGGUGCCUUCGCAGCUCCAGUCCUUCCUCAGCCUUGCAACAGCCUCCUGCUCUUCCCAGUGCAUCCCCUCUGGGCAGCAGGCUCAGGCACGACGCAGGGGUGUCUGGCAGGGCCAGGGCCACUGAUGCUGCUGCUGGCCAGGACUGAAAAAUGCAGACUGCAGGCAACAUAAGCAAGCAGGACAACCCCGCUCAGAUUGUGUGUGUGUGUAAAGUUUGAUGGAACUGCACGGGCUGGGGGCGUCUGGGGAAGUAUCUAUAAGUGGCAAUCGGCUGAGCAGCUGGGAGGAACUUCAGAGAAGAGACAGAAUAUUAAGAGGUGAGUUUGGGGCUGGGCGCAGUGGUUCACGCCUAUAAUCCCAACACUUUGGGAGGCUGAGGAGGGCAGAUCACUUGACCUCAUGAAUUCAAGACGAGCCUGGGCAACAUGGUGAAACCCUUGUCUCUACAUAAAACACAAAAAAAAUUAGUCAGGUAUGGUGGCAUGCGCCUGUAGUCCCAGCUACAGGGGAGGCUGAGGUGGCAGGAUGGUUUGAGCCUGGGAGGCAGAGGUUGCAGUGAGCUGAGAUGGUGCCACUGUAUUCUAGCCUAGGCGAGAGAGCCAGACCGCGUUUAAAAAAAAAGAAGCAGCAGCAAGUUUGGAUGUGUCUCCUUACUAGGCUCAUUCCAAGCCUGGGGCCACCUGCCUUCACUCCCCAUGAAGCCUCGAGUCCCCUCCCACUCAUGCUAGCCCUUAGGGUCUAUGGUUUGGGAUAACCAAGGGCUUCACUCUAGAUUCAUAGCCUGGCUCCAGGUUCACAACCUGACACUGCCACUUUCAAGCUGUGUAACUCUGGGCACGCUGUUUAACACCUCUGAGCCUCAGCUUGCUCACCACUGUGAAGGUGAACAGUUUAUGGGAAAGGCCCACCCUCUGCAGCAGUCACUGAGUUUUGAUUUUGAAUUUCUAAUAUCUACUAGGCCACCCUGCACAGGACCAGGGGCUCCCAGAGAGCAGGAAAGGUGGUCUCAUCUUCAGACAGGUCAAGGCCAGGGGGCAGGGCAGCAGGCAAGGAGAUGGUGUAGAGCACCACAGGGCCUUGGCUGGAAAUGCUGAGGUUGGUGAGCCCUGAAAGUGAGCAGUGGUCCGGCUGGUGGGUCACGCUGUGUGUGUGUCCAUCCACUUCCUUCCAUCCACACACAGGCUCAGCCUGGGGUUCAUAUCCCUGGGGCCUCAAUGCAGAGCAAGCAACUCACUAAGAGUUACAUGGGUGUUUUCAUUCUAGUGAGGAUGAUAUAUACAAGGCGCUGGUAGCCAGUAAUAACUUACUGAGGCCAAAGCCCCCAUGGGUAACAGGGCAUGACAAAAGGUUCCCAUGUUCCCAGGGCCUGUCAUCUUGUUUGUCUAUGGCUCCGGCUGUAUCAAUCUCCUUUUUGUGUGUUUGUCAAAGGGCAGCCCCCAAACCCCCAAAUGGGACAUAAAUAGAACUGAAGUACAACAAGCUACUAUAUUCUCAGCACAGGGAGUGUGAAGCCCUUAGUCUUAAAGUGACAAAUGGGUAGGAAAUUAUUUCUUGCUAAAGAAUAAUGAGGAGCAUAAAUUGCUUCUGUGUGCGGAUGAUUCACUAGAAGGUAGGCACCUCCGGCUGCAAGAGGAAGGCACCACCACUUCAAGCCUCAGGGCCACGCUUCAUGGCUUUCCCCCUACAUCAAGCACCACCACCCAGCUGCAUCCUGGCCAGGCUGGCCUGAUAACCCUUGCCCUUCCUUCUCCCCAGCCUCUGGGGAAGAGGCACUGAGAAAGGCGUGGGGAAGGGCAGUCUGCUCAGUCUGAAAGCUCCUUUACUCCUAGAAAAGGGUUUUCAGGACCCAGAACUGUGCCCUGGGUAAUGGUAAGCAUGGCUGUGGCAGGCUCUCCUUAGAAGGCUGAGGGCCCCAGGCAGGAGACCUUUCCCCUGCUUGGUUAAGACCCAAGGUUGGGGCUGGGCGCGGUGGCUCACGCCUGUAAUCCCAGCACUUUGGGAGGCCAAGGAGGGUGGAUCAUGAGGUCAGGAGAUCGAGACCAUCCUGGCUAACACGGUGAAACCCCGUCUCUACGAAAAAUACAAAAAAUUAGCCGGACAUGGUGGCGGGUGCCUGUAGUCCCAGCUACUCGGGAGGCUGAGGCGGGAGAACGGUGUGAACCCAGGAGGCGGAGCUUGAAGUGAGUCAAGAUCGCGCCACUGCACUCCAGCCUGGGUGACAGAGCAAGAUUCCAUCUCAAAAAAAAAAAAAAAGACGCAAGGUUGGUCUAUCUUUCCAUCUCUCUCUCCAUCUCUCUCCCCUCCUUGGCUACUCCCUGAAUAGCAAACCUGAACAGCUAGCAAGAUGCCAGCUUGGGCAGGACCCAACAUGUGUCUUCUCCUUUAAUUUUACUUCUAACAGCACUUUCAAGUGAACCACUGCAAUUAAGCAGGCUUAAGCACAGCCUGACAUACAGCAGAAAGACACACACAGAAGAUUAACCACAGAAGGUAGAGACCCCGGAAGGAAUUCAACACUCAGGCUUAUUUAUCCAAACAUGAAGCUGACCCUGUAACAUUGAAGAAAGUAUUUCAGUGAACACUUGGGCAAAGCACUAUCAAAGCAGGCAACUCAGCCGCCCAGUGCAGGCGCCAAAUGUCUCCGUAGCCUUAUUAUGAAACGACGUCUUUAAAAGUACAUUAUAGGCCCGGCGCAGUGACUGAUGCCUGUAAUUUCAGCAGUUUGGGAGGCCAAGGUGGGCAGAUCACUUGAGGUCAGGAGUUCGAGACCGGGCUGCCCAACAUGGUAAAACCCCGUCUCUAUUAAAAAUAAAAAAAUUAGCGGGGCAUGGUGGUGCAUGCCUGUAGUCCCAGCUACUUGGGAGGCUGAGGCAGGAGAAUGGCUUGAACCUGGGAGGCAGAGGUUGCAGUGAGCCGAGAUCAUGCCACUGCACUCCAGCCUAGGCGACAGAGUGAGACUGUCUCAAAAAAAAAAAAAAAAAAAAAAGACUGAUAAUCCCAACCUAAGACAUACAUCAGCUUUGGACUGCUAGUCCAUUUGGGGCCCUCCCAAAAAGAGGAGGCAGCUCCUGAGCACCCUGAAUCCAGGGCCUAUACUCACUCCCUCACUCACAGCUCCUGAGCACCCCCAGUCCAGGGCCUGCACUCUCUCCCCGACCCACAGCCCUGGGGGAGUUAUUCCACACUGUCAGCCUCAAGGACAAGACUUUUCUUCUUUAAAUCAAACUGCAACAAGAGAAAUGGAGGUUUGGGGGCAAAAGUGAAUUUCUCCUAUUCACUCUCCUAUUAACUCUCCUAUUAACCCCCAGAACAAGUCCCUGAGGAAAAACUGGCAUCUUUUUCCGGAGGAAAAAAUGAAGAAUUUCAUCCAAUAGACUUGCAAGUCAGUACCCCUAAUUAGAGGCCGAUAAGAGACACAAGGAGAGAAAGCAGGAGUUGGAGAGGAUGUCGG
rnacentral:lncRNA from 10 species